CAGUAGGUGAACCUAGAAGGAAAUAAAAACCCUACAGUUUAACAAUGUUCAUUGAAUUUGCAUAUUUUUCUCUUUAAAUGGAUAUGGUUUUGUGGGUGCCCACCAGCCCCCUCUAGAGGAAGGAGCCCUGCCCAAGUUCCAGUCUCUCCUGCGGGUGAUGAGAGAUGGCCCCAGGAAAGUUCUCUGGGACUUGGCUUUCUUGUCUGGAAAAUGCGGAGAAACAGCCACCUCCGGGGUGGCUGUGAGGAUGGAGGACAAUUGUCCAGGAGCUCUGAGCUGAGCCUGCCCUCCUGGUCCCUAGAAUCACCCCUUGAGAGGUCAAGACGACAUCCCGGUCGCAAGGAUGACUGGGCUCACCCAGCUGCUUUGAGGUCCAACAUCUCAAGAAAGCCACAAAACAUGGUCAACUCAAUUUCUGAGGCAAAUGCCUGAAGUGCCCACUGAGUCAUUAAGGACCAAGGAGAGUAAGGAAACCCAAUGUUCCUCGUGAGAAAGUGAUUUAGAAAUGAUCCCUUAAUUGGUCUUCAAGCUGGGGAAGACCUUGGUCACCUGUUUCAACUGUUUGGAUGAGGAAAUCAGAUCUUGGGAGAUUUAAAGAACUCUCUGCUUCCGGUUUCUCUUAGGCUACGCAUAACGGACAACAAUUUGGACACGAUUGGAAACAUUGGUCAUAUUACCAAGGCUUUGACUGGAAUGUCAUAUUUGAGAUUGAUACAUAGAAUCAGAGGUGACCAGACAGUUUUUAAAAACUGAGGUUGAUUUGAUGGAGCUGGAGAAACUGACCUGCUACCUGGCUCACCGGGUCCCCAUCCCACAGGUGAGUGAAGAAGGUCAUUUGCUGGCAGAUCCAGGAACUUUGGGAACCUCGAGACCUUCGGAAGAGAGAAAUUCACCCAAGUCUUUAGGUACCACAUGUGAAGUCUGAUGACAUUCCCCUCAUUAAAUUCCCGACUACUUGUACCAUCCAGCACACAUCCUCCACCAGAUGAAACAUGGACUUAUCUUGUUCAAAGAGAAAAGGAAUGUCUCUUCUUUCUUGAACAAGAGGAGGGAAUGAGAAAGCCUCGCUCCUUGACUUACCUCAUGCCAGGCUCCUCUGAGUCUUCUCUUUGACUAGGCCUUGACCCUAGCUUCUGCUUUUGUCUGCUUUUCCCCAUGUUUAGUAGGAAUCCUGUGAAGUCUUUUAGUGGAAAUCCCCUAGUCUUGGCCUGGUCACCCUUGAUAUCUGAUCAAAUUCCUCACCCUCCAUCUUUGAUUAUUUUAUUGCCUUGGCUUCCUUUCAGGUCUGGCCUCCUGUUUGGCCGAACACAAUAUACACAAUAAUUGAACUAGAGGGUGAAUACAUGGAGGUUCAUGAUAUUCUUCCAAGUUAGAAAUUUUCCAUAAUAAAAAGUUAAAAUAAGUAACAUAUGCAACUCUCUCAUGGAUGUCUAGAUUUUAAAAGGUCUUCAAAGAUAGCAGACCUUUGUGUCCUGUUGCAAGGAUAAUCAAUUUUUAUUAAACUUAUGCAAACAAUUGUAUGGUCCUGAAAAUCAUAAUAUCCAAAUUCUAGAGUAAUCAGGUGGGACAAAAAAUAUAAAUGCUUCAUUUUUGUUUAUAAAAGCCCUCUUGGCCUUUGCUGAAUCAGUUUAGCAAAGAAUUCUCCUACCUUUUAGCAAUGUUCAUCCACUGACCCACCCUGAUCCUUGGCUGCAAAUCUCCACUUUCCCUGUAUUUGGAGUUGAGCCCACUCUCCACUAUUAUGAGACACCAUGGUAGUAGCCCCCUUUGAAUAAAGGCUGCCUGCCCAUCUUUAGCAAGCAUCACAAAUAUUUUUUAACGGUAUGAGCUGAGAUAAAGGCUUUUGGUAAUUAUGUUAGUCUGAUUAUGACAUUGUAGAUAAUGCUUUUAUCUCUUCGCAAGAAAAUGUUUUACAUGAGGUGGUAAGGCAUCUGGGAUGGUGCUAAAAUACUCCCCAAACAAGAAAAGUGUGUGUAUGUGGUGUGGAGUGUGUAUGUGUGUGUGUGUAGAAAAAAACAAAAUAUGCACAAUAAUUGAACCUGAGGGUGAAUACACGAAGGUUCAUGAUAUUCUUCCCAGUUAGAAAUUUUCCAUAAUAAAAAGUUAAAAUAAGUAACAUUUGCAACUUUCCUAUGGACAUCUAGAUUUUAAAAAGUCUUCAA
rnacentral:lncRNA from 10 species